rnacentral:lncRNA from 1 species
UUUCUCCUCUUCCCCCACUCAUUCUGGCCCGAAGGCCCAGCACUUCCCUUUCUCCCCUCGCGCGGCCCAGCUCGCGGCGCGGCCCAGUGUCGCCCCAGCCCAACCGCGCCUCCCUUCCCCUCUUCUCUCUCUGACCAGCGGGCCCCAUUCUUUCCCUCGCUGACGGGUAGGACCCACCGGGCAGCGCCCGUCUUCUUCCUCCCAACCGUAUGGAGACCGGACUCUCCCCAGGAAAGGAAUCCGUCCCGGUGAUCCGAUUCCCUCCCGUUUCGGCUUGUUCCCCACGUCUAUGCUCCUAUAAAGCUUCAAGACCCUUCCCCGACCCCCUUUUUCCCAUCCCCGUAGACGCAGUUGCCCUAGCCCGCGUUUUGGAUCUCGCCGAGGAGCAUCACUCGCCCGCCGCCGUGGCCUUCACCCUCGGUUGCGCCAAGGUCGUCAACAAUCGUGUGCCGAGCUCCGCAACGACUUGACGAAGGUGCUGAGACCAUCCUCUUAACCUCUACCGCGCUAUAGCGUUCUCACCACGCUGCCGAACGUGUACAGGGUGUCGUCGUCCGCCGCUCCCCGUGGUCGGCCCUCUCCAAGCCCUUCUAGCCGGUGUUUCUGUCCCAGGUGAGUUAGCACGAAGCUCCGCUUUGACCCCAUGCCCUCGGUUGGUUGAAUGGUGCUCGGAGUCGCCCAAACCGUGAACUCCGGCGAGGCCUCCAAUGGCGCCGCCGUGGAGGAGCCUGCUCCGGCGAGGAGGCCGGCCAACUCUUCCCCACACGCGAUCUUAACCGUCCUUUCGAGAUCUGAUGGCCGAAAUUAAAACAUACCGUUUCGGCUGUGAAAUUGGUUAAAGAGUCCCUGAAAGUUUUAUGAAUCAAACCCGCAGUCCUUCACGCGUUUGGCAAAAUACGCUUUGCUGUUUUGAAAACGUAAAGCAACUCGGUUUAAUACGAAAUACGUUUUCUGAAUUUACAAGUUUGCCACUGAAACUGUUUUGGUCAUAAAAUGCUCAUUUUAACUCCGUUUUUGUCCAUCCAAAUUGCGUUAGGUUCGUAUUUACGAGCUCUACAUGUUAAAACUAUUUAUUCUCUGUUUUGAAACUUUUUAAUUUCCUGGUUCUAUUUAAUUAAUUAUUUCUCUAUAGGAAACCUUAGACAAUUCAUAUCUUUCACAUUUUAACUCCAUUUUUCGUGAUCUUUACGUCUGUGAGAUCGUAGCGAUGUGUAAAAUCAUUUUACAGACUCUCUAUACUGUUUUUAUAUGAUUGGUGUACUGUUCUAAUUGUAGUCUUGUUUGCUUCGUGUAUGUUUUCUUCGAUUGUUUGUGUGAUCGAUGAUCGAGAUUAGACGAUAAGCAAUUCGUGGUGAACAAGAGCGCUUCAGUGAUCAAGAUCAGCAGGAUCAGCAAGAGCAUUUGGAUCAAGGCAAGUAUAGCAUUUGGAUUUUAUUUCUGUGACCAUGAUCCUGUGACUAGAUUAAUGUUAAGUAAUAAAUGAUAAAAAUGACUUUUUAGCCACUUGAUGAUUUAUCUGUAAGUGAUAACCGGGACAACAGUGCAACCAUGAGGGCUAUAAUGGCUCUGGCUUUAGUUAAGUAUGAGUAACUUUUCUAGCUCGUUAGCGGUUACCCGUUGUGGCGCGAUUGGGGAAUAGCAGACCGUGGAUUCCUGCGGGUGAAUCACAUGGACUGACUAAUGAAACCAAGCGGCCCUAACUUGUUAGACGAACCUUUGAAAGACUUCAUAGUGAUCCCUGCCGACCUCCCUAGGAAGGGGGUUAAGAGACUAGCUACCUCGGGCGAAAGGGUAAAUCAUGACUCAUGGGUAAAGAUGUGCAACCUCUGCAGAGGGUUAAAAACUAGUAUACUAGCCGAGCUCACGGUCAGGAGCGGCCUUGGGGAUUCUUGCUGCGACGAUAAUGAUUCCUAUGUGUUAAAUAUGCUCAUUAUUUAUUAUUUAAUGCUUUACAUUAUUUAUGUCAUAUUGAUCAUGAGAUUGUGAGAGCUAUACAAUCUAGCUGCUAUAUUUGUGGAGUUCGACAUGGACUCACUCUUGCUAUUUCCCCCAAACCUCAGGAGAAGUUUAGGCUUGUGAUCAACCAGUCAGUUGGAUCCUGUAGAGUGAAGUUAAUACCCGAAGUUGGAGUUGCGUAUCCGCUGUUUGAUACUAAAGGUUAUCUCUCUUAUACUAUGCACGUUAUAUAAUUUAUGCAUUGUCUUUUGAUAUUACCCCUUAUUUGUAGCUAUAUGUGAGAUUUGACUACUAAAACUCAUAUAUAGUGUAUAUCUGGUUUUGUCCUUAAAAUCGGGUAUUACAAAGUGGUAUCAGAGCAAUGCUGACUGUAGGACGCAAGCCUAGUUAGAACUGGACGUUUUGGCAUGCUUCUAUCUUUGCUUACUUCUUGCUUUUCGCCUUGACCUUGAUAGUUGCUAAAAGUUAUGCUUACCUCUUGCCUAGUUCUUUUAUAAAAUCUUGUCUCUAUUCUAAAUCCUCUCUCUUUGUCUCUUUAGAUGGAUCAUAACGAGGAGACCUUUGACAAGAAGGAACGAAAGCACCCAGAUUUUCCAACCGUAAAAGCAUUCGACAUGGAGAAGCUUCUAGCCAUGCAAACACAAGUAGUGGAAGGAAUAACUCAGAAUAAGAACUCUCAACAACGUAUCUCAGGACCCGUGAGGAGACAAGUAGCAGAAGCUUGGAAAAAUAUGAGAAAUCAUGGAAGCGUUGGGAGUAAUACAUCAGGAUAUCAGGAUCAAUGCCACUGUUGUGAGCAUUAUGGUCUUCCUUGUCUUCGGAAUAUGUCAUCUAAGAAGGAAGUUAAGACAAAACCAACCUGUGUGACUAAUGAGGAUAAGAAGAGGAAGGCAAAAGCACUAGAGCCGAGAUUGGGAAGUGAUCAACACCCAAAUCCCAAGAUGUCACAUGUAGCUUCAAAUUCUCGUCAGGAAAACUCAAACCUUGGAGAUGAACAAAUUCCCCAAGCUAAUCCCACUGCUCAUGAGGUAUGCAUAGAUGGGUGGACAAUUACUUAUAGAGAGUUUCAACCUCGGAGGAUCAAGCAAUGUAGAAAGAAAUCUAACCAGGCAAAGAUAAACCAUCAGAGUAUGCAAGUUGAUAACACACCGAACAACACUUCAGUGGAAAAUAACAUCACAGAGAAACCAGCUAAGAGAAGGUGUUAUCACUGCCAACAAGAAGGACAUUAUAUAAGCUCUUGUCCACAAAAGAAGCAACAGAUGCAUCGUGAAGAUAACCACACUAAGUCUAAGAUAUAGGUGUCCGUGUCCCCUGGUGUAAUAAAAACGCUAGUAGCGAAAGUUGAGUUUGUGUGCCUUGUGAACCUUUAAUGCUUAAUUGCUUGUUAUUAUGUUUAUGUUUGAUUUGGAUCUUUGUAAUGAGUGUAAUGAUUUUGUGAAGUUCUUCACAAUUUCAUUUAGUUUAUAGAACUAAGGCAUACGGAGUAAUGACAUAAGUAGUUGGGUUUGGUUAUAUCCUGUUUCUGUCUUUUGCUGAUUUCUGGAGCAGUUUGCAAUAAUGCUGGUGUAUCUAAAGGUCCGAUCAUGCAAAGUUUAUCAAAUGUUUCUGGGUACAACUAGACUUCAAGAUCUUUCUCAGACCGCAAGAAUCAACCUCAUGGCUGUUAUGGUUUGGAAGUUACAAAAAUCACAACAUGAUACAACUAUGCUGUCAAGAACCUGGACCAGUUCCGGUUGCUUACUAUUUUAGACAUAUAUAACUAUAGAAUUUGGAAGAGUAUUCUAUAGAAAAGUUGUAGAUAAUUUUCUAUUCUUUCCAACGGUAUAAGCUGGAACUUAAUUGGAUAGGUAGAACCUGAGAUAUGAUAUUUACAAUUGGAUGUUUCUGUUCUGUUUCAAAAUCUGGAUAGAUCUGGCAAUUCCUAUUCUCAGCCAAGCUUAAAGACAGAAUCUGGGGAAAAGUUGUAUACGAAAGUUGUAAAGGAUUUCAUAAGCUUUUCAACAAUGUAAGGAUCAUCCCCAUAUGAGUUAAGUAGCUCGAGGUAUAAUUUCUGGAAUUUACUGCAUCCUUGCUGAGAUAUUAUCAGGAAGGACAUUAUGUUUGGCUGUUUUACCUGAGCCUAAAUACAGAACCUAAGGACGUCUUCUACAGGAAAGUUGUAGGGAAUUUCAUAAUCUUUCUAACGGUAUAAGCUACAACUCUAUUGGAUUAGCAGAAUGGGAGUUAUACCUGUUUUUCUAUGCUGGUGUUUUUCAUAUCGCGGGAAAAUUUCAGGAUACAUGUUUGUUCUCUUGCACAGAAGCUCUUUGGGAUGUCAUAAGUUCUCAAUGUUAGUUAACUUGUCUGGAAAACAUGCUAGCUACCUUUCUUGUGUCCCCUAGAUGACCUUUUUUUAAGGGGGGGUAGUACCUUGAUAUCGAGGGUGAUGCAUUAUAAGACUAGCUUGGAGUGAUAAUUGUCUUCUAAGAUAUUCUAUGGUUAUGAUCAUCUAUCCUUGCCGUGUUACUGACGUUGGUCACUUGAUGACAGGGAGUGUAGUGUCCCAAGAAUCCGGAGCACAAUAUGACACCUCUCAUGGAUAGGUGGGAAGAUUAUGAUCAUCUUGCCUUUGAAGAAAGAUGCUAUGAGUAUGACAAAGCUGAGUGUUAUCAAAAUAAUAUUGAGGAGCAAGUUGACAAUGAAUCAAAUCAAAAUCCACAACGACGGAAGCGUAAAAGGAAAGCUCGUAAGAAGCCUGCUCUCGGAAAUAAAGUACAGCGAAAUUAUAUCAACGGAAGACUGAACAAUGUGGAUAUGCAUAACAUUCAAGGAGCCACCAAAGUGGUGGGAGGCUAUAUUCAAGUGGACUCAGUACUAGUUUUUGCUCUGUUUGACCGAAGUGCUUCACAUUCUUUCAUAUCCGCCGACUUGGUAAAGACAAUCGAACGGGUGAAGUGUCCGACGAGAAAGCCUUUGUUAGUUCAAACCCCAAUGGGAGAAAUACAGGCAGAUCAGGUUUGCUCAAAUAUCAAUCUUGUCAUAAAGAAGGAAAACUUCACUGUAAACCUCAUUGUGCUAGAAUCACUCAAUAUUCCUUUGGUUCUUGGCAAUGGAUGGUUAUGUGCACACAAGGCAGUGAUCUAUGCUACCCAGUGGAAAAUAUUCUUAACUGCACCAUCAGGGAAAAGAAUUGAGUAUCAAGGUGGUCCACUCCUACCUGAGGAGGCAUACCCAUGCUAAGUUAUCAUGUCGUUGAGUUGUAUAAGUCAAAAAGUUGGUAGACAAGAUGGAUUUUAAUCAGCUAUGAAUAAUAGACAUUUUAUGGAAGUUUUGUUUACAAGUUGUGAUCCCCGAGACAUAAGUGAUUACAUUGGAAUACAAGUUGUGAAGUUGAAUUAGAUAUCAAGAUCUUGUUCUUGUUUCUCUUUUGGAAUCCGUGUCUCUUCCGAAUCUCGAGGACGAGAUUCAUUUUAAGGGGGGUAGAUUUGUAACACCCUAAAUUUUGUUCUUUUAGAAAUAGAUGAAAAAUAAUUUAAUUUUGAAUUGUUGUGCUCAUAAAACAUAGGGGAAUAAUAUUUUUCAGUAAAUUAAAACUUAUCAUAGGGUUUAGUAACAUGUAUGUGCACUCAUGCUGGAGCAUUUAUAUUUUUGUACUGUGUAACUUUGAGUAAAGUUCAAAAGUAUUUCAAAACUGAUUUUUUUAAAAGGGACUUGAAAUGGCUUUGGAAUAAAAGAAAGGAAAAUAGAAAAAAAAAAAAAAAAAACAACAAAACCUUUCUCCUCUUCCCCCACUCAUUCUGGCCCGAAGGCCCAGCACUUCCCUUUCUCCCCUCGCGCGGCCCAGCUCGCGGCGCGGCCCAGUGUCGCCCCAGCCCAACCGCGCCUCCCUUCCCCUCUUCUCUCUCUGACCAGCGGGCCCCAUUCUUUCCCUCGCUGACGGGUAGGACCCACCGGGCAGCGCCCGUCUUCUUCCUCCCAACCGUAUGGAGACCGGACUCUCCCCAGGAAAGGAAUCCGUCCCGGUGAUCCGAUUCCCUCCCGUUUCGGCUUGUUCCCCACGUCUAUGCUCCUAUAAAGCUUCAAGACCCUUCCCCGACCCCCUUUUUCCCAUCCCCGUAGACGCAGUUGCCCUAGCCCGCGUUUUGGAUCUCGCCGAGGAGCAUCACUCGCCCGCCGCCGUGGCCUUCACCCUCGGUUGCGCCAAGGUCGUCAACAAUCGUGUGCCGAGCUCCGCAACGACUUGACGAAGGUGCUGAGACCAUCCUCUUAACCUCUACCGCGCUAUAGCGUUCUCACCACGCUGCCGAACGUGUACAGGGUGUCGUCGUCCGCCGCUCCCCGUGGUCGGCCCUCUCCAAGCCCUUCUAGCCGGUGUUUCUGUCCCAGGUGAGUUAGCACGAAGCUCCGCUUUGACCCCAUGCCCUCGGUUGGUUGAAUGGUGCUCGGAGUCGCCCAAACCGUGAACUCCGGCGAGGCCUCCAAUGGCGCCGCCGUGGAGGAGCCUGCUCCGGCGAGGAGGCCGGCCAACUCUUCCCCACACGCGAUCUUAACCGUCCUUUCGAGAUCUGAUGGCCGAAAUUAAAACAUACCGUUUCGGCUGUGAAAUUGGUUAAAGAGUCCCUGAAAGUUUUAUGAAUCAAACCCGCAGUCCUUCACGCGUUUGGCAAAAUACGCUUUGCUGUUUUGAAAACG